rnacentral:tRNA from 1 species
GCCGAUAUUGGCAAAAUCUGGAUUCGUAAUGCGAAGGUCAGGAGUUCGAUUCCCCUUAUCGGCACCA